rnacentral:rRNA from 1 species
GAUGAACGCUGGCGGCGUGCCUAAUACAUGCAAGUCGAGCGAACAGACGAGGAGCUUGCCCCUCUGACGUUAGCGGCGGACGGGUGAGUAACACGUGGAUAACCUACCUAUAAGACUGGGAUAACUUCGGGAAACCGGAGCUAAUACCGGAUAAUAUAUUGAACCGCAUGGUUCAAUAGUGAAAGACGGUUUUGCUGUCACUUAUAGAUGGAUCCGCGCCGCAUUAGCUAGUUGGUAAGGUAACGGCUUACCAAGGCAACGAUGCGUAGCCGACCUGAGAGGGGGAUCGGCCACACUGGAACUGAGACACGAGCCAGACGCCUACGGGAGGCAGAAGUAGGGAAUCUUCCGCAAUGGGCGAAAGCCUGACGGAGCAACGCCGCGUGAGUGAUGAAGGUCUGCGGAUCGUAAAACUCUGUUAUUAGGGAAGAACAAAUGUGUAAGUAACUAUGCACGUCUUGACGGUACCUAAUCAGAAAGCCACGGCUAACUACGU